rnacentral:pre_miRNA from 1 species
UAUGUACUCCCUCCGUUCGGAAAUAGUUGUCAUUGAAAUGGAUGUACCUAGAUGUAUUUUAGUUCUAGAUACAUCCAUUUUGAAGACAAGUAAUUCCGAACGGAGGGAGUAGGAU